GUAGUCUCAGUAACAGAUUUGAAAUCAUACAAGAACAAGAAAAAAAGAGAAUAACUACUGGAGAAUAUAUUGUCCCAACUAAUUAAUUUUACUAACUGAUUCCUUUAAACAAUGGAUACUUAUUAUCCAUUAGGCAUGGUGCAGAGGGCAGAAAGAAGACAAAGAACGAAGAUAAAAGAAGCCUUUUUCCUCAAGAAGAUUGUAAUCUAGUGGUGGAGCUGGAAAAUAAAGGAAAGCAGUGGCCAUGUAUGUCAUGAGGACAUUCCAGUAACCCUAUGUGGUAAGGAACCGAAUCAGCCUGCCAACAACCACUGAAAAACUGAGCCCUCCUGCUGACAGCCAUGUGAGAGGAACACCUUGGAAGUGGAUCCUCCAGGCCUGGUCAUACUUCAGAUGACUGCAGCCCAAGCCAACAUCUUGCUUGAGUGGAGCCUCAUGAGUGACUCAGUCAAAACCACACAGCUGAGAUAUUUCCAACCCACAGAUACUGAGAUAAUAAAUGUUUAUUGCUACUAGGUUUCCUUCCUUCCUUCCUUCCUUCCUUUCUUUUCUCUCCUCUUCUCCUUCCUUCCUUCCUUCCUCCCUCCCUCUCCUCCUCCUCCAUCUUCUUCCUCUUCCUCUUCUUCCUCUUCCCCUUCCCCUUCCCCUUCCUCUUCCUCCUUCUUUCUUACUUUCUUUCUCUUUCUUUCUUUCUUUCUUUCUCUAUGAAAAUAUCAGGUGUACUAUAUUUUACCUGCCUUCAUGUAUAUUUGAAUAAUUCCAUAAUAAAACUUUUUAAAAUUCUCUUGUA